CUCCUUUCACAUUUCUGGGGGUUGUCACAGUUUCUCUUUUCUGCUUUGUGGCAUCAUGCGUUAUUUCAGAUCACUUUAUCUGUAGAAACUGAGAAAAUAAAAAAAAAUUUUAAAAUACAGAGAUUUGUGUUUUAUUGUUGAUAGCAUGCGUAUACUGAUAUGUAAGUUAGAUUUUAAGGUUAGAUCAGGGGAAGAAUAAAGGAAGAAUUAGAUAUUUAGGACAAAUAAUUUUGAUGGUAGGUUCUUAGGUCCUUUGUUGUAGGCAAAUCUAUAAUUAUUUUCAUUUAUGGAAUGUUACGAUUUUUUUUAAUCCAGCUAAUUUAUUGCCUGAGGUCAGCAAUUACUUUUCAACCUGAGCUCUUGUCCAAGUCAAAGGAGGAACCACUUAAAGUUCUAGACUAGGGAAAGAGAUUUCAAUUACUCGUGAAUCUUUGUUGUGCCCCUAACAAGAAUGACCAUAGGAUACCCCUACUACGAGGCUUUGAACAGUGCUGUCCUAAGCCUUAUGCAUCUGGGAUAGGAGAAAAAGCCAAUACAGGUCUUUGAUCUGCAUUUCACAAUCUUGGUUGCAAAAGAAGAAAAUCAGAAACAUUGAAAGACUUCAUGGUGCAACCAUGAGUCUGAAGCAUUAUGUAAGAGCCCAAAUUCAAUUGGUUGAACAACUGAUUGAAAUUGAAUAUGAAGACAAAAUAAUGCAAGACUCAAUCAGUGGGGAAAAUUAUGUAUUUAUCUUAGAAUCCUAUCAAGUUCCAGGUCUUUAUAUUUAGAUAAAAAAUAUUAGACCUACUGUUAUCCCAUCAACUUCAAAGGUCUUAGGGGUUAGAUAGAAAAUCUGUGUAUGUCUUAAGAGUCAAAGACAUGCAAAUCAAGGUAUCAGAUGGGAUGGGACAUGUUGACCUUUUAUAAGUAGCCAGAGAAUUAGGUAACUUGACUUUAUUUAUUAAAGCUUUGAAGUCCAUGAUACAAAGAUUAUGAAAAAGACUGAGUGUGGCAAAUGGGUGGUGAGAAUUUCUUUGGAGGUUUGCAGCCCCCCAGAUUUCAUGCCUGGCUAAGACUACUGGUUGAAAGAGACUCAGUGAAUGUGAUGAUUGAAUUUUCACACUCAUGUGUGAGAUGUGCCUCCCUCAAAUCUUGUUAUGAUAUUGGCACAUUACCUGUCUAACAUGAAAAAAAAUUUAAUAAACUGAUCUAAAACAAAACAUACCCACUUAAUAGUCUUUUCUAUAGUCAGACACAUUUAAAAACUUAUAUCCCUAGGAAAGAAGCUUUCAUGAAUAAGACAUUUUGACACUGUAUUUUGAUAUAUUCUCUUUCUCUCUAUUUCUCUCCUUCACUGCCUUUUUCCUUUUCUCUUCCCUCUCUUUCUCCUUACCCAAUUCAUACUGUACACUGAUCACAUAUAUAUGAAUUUUGAAAAAUGAAAGCUUUAUUCAAAUGUGUUUGUCAUGCAGUUCCAGGUUGUGUUUAUGUGCAUGAGAAGAGUCAGUUUUGUACUUAAGGCACAAAGGUUCGAACUUAUUAUACAACAUAAGUAGACUACUUUUUGUGUGGUGUAAAGGAAGUUUUGUAUAUGACCUGCAUGCACAUAUCAACAAUGAUCAAUUAUCAUUAUGAGAAUGAAUAACUUAAAAAAUAAAAUAAAAGUAACCCAUAGAUGAACACUGAUAUAUGAAAAUAGGUAUUACAAUGUUUGAAUUUUGAUAGAUACCACUUGUGUGCAAAAAAGGAAAUAAGGCUAUUUAUAUGAUUGCAAUUGCACUCUUUCCUCUAAGGCCUCCAUUGAUCACUUUCUUAUUAUAAAUGGAAAAUGCUAAAAAUACUGUAGCAGCUGUGUAUGUAAAGCUUACUAGUCAUGGUGUUUCUCCAGGUUAAGUCAUGGCAGUUGACAUGAAUUUAGUACAUUCUUACACCAUCCUGCAUGUGUCAAAAGAGGUAAUGACUGUUUAGCAACUAUGUAUUUUGUUAAGAUGAAAAAAACAACCUGUAGAUUUUUUGUGCAUAAUUCAUUACCCCCAGUAUAAUUUUUUCUUACACCUUCCUUUGCUUCUUAGUUGUAAAUAAUUACAUAAAAAUAAUUAUUGGGGAAAGAAAGGUAGAUUUGAAAAUAAUUUAUUGAAGUCUUCCUUCUUACCAUAAAGCUUCAAAGCAUUUGAAUAAAACAAAAGACUCAUUAACUUUGCAUUGUGAAGUAGGUAUUAUUAACCACAUGGUUACAAGUCAUGAAUAUAUUUCUCCUUAUCUAAAAACAAUGUCAAAACAUAUUCACAAAGCUUUCCAUAAAACUUCUAGUAUGAGAAAAGGCUUGCUGUUGGCUGUAAAGCCUGGGAGAAAGAGGACAAACUAUGACAUUCAUAUUGCUUUUUUCUUAAGAAACAUAGUCACUUAUGGAGCUGAUUGUUUUAGUAUAAUGUAAAACUAAUUGUGCUCUCUUUCUCUGAAUAGUGGGUAAUUUAUCUACUGGCUGUUUGGGAGCUUGGAAGCUUUUAAAACAAAUUCUCCUGAUGAUGAAUGCUUUUUAAACUCUCAAUCUCUCCCAUUUCUGAAAAAGAACAAAGAGAUCUACUCGGAUGGGACUGGAUUGUAUUGAACCAAGCAAUUACUUCUACUUGACAAAGAUGAAAUGGAUAGUAUUAAUCUACAUGGAAGGCACAUUUAAUUUUAAACUUUAUGCAUUACUAUAUUUGAAAUAAAAGAGUACAGCAAUAUAUAGAAUAAAUCCACCUUAUUUACACUCUGCCCAGAAAAUCAUACUUUUAAAUAAGUCUUAUGACUUCUUCAGUAGCAGGAAUGCUUGUUAUUUUUGUUCUAAUUCAGAUUUAUAACUAAUAAGAACUUAGAGAAAUUUACAUCAUCUGUAUUUUUAGGGAGCAUAUAUAAAUGCAAAUAAGGUGAAAGAAACUGUAGGUAAGACAGGUCACAUAACACUUUAUAGAAAAGCAAAGUCUUAUGAACAGCAAUUAUACUUGUUGCCACUAUGGAUCAUGUUUCUUGAGUAAUCAUUCAGCCACUCACACUUUUUAUAGACAAUGUGAAUAUAUUUGGCUUUCACAAAUCCCUCAUUCUAAAUGAGAUACAAUUCAAUUCAAAUUUUUAAGUAACACAGACUAAUUCUCAGCACCUACUGUUCAUCAUAAGUUAAAACUUGUCUUCUGUUAAUAAACUCUUAGGAACCAAAUUACGUUACAUUUUUAGGCUCAAAUAAUCAUAUCAAAAAACUGUAAUGGAAUGAAAACCAAAAUGAGUAGUAACUUAUUGGAAUAACUACCAAUGGAGGAAACUGCUCCAUUAGGUAGUUCUUGGAGGCUGAAUAAUCUCUAUUCCUGAGUUGAUGGCCAUUUAGAGUAUAGGACAGUGAAUCAGAAAACACAGGGGAGAAUCAUCUGAGAUUUUAACUUUAAAAACAAGGCUUAGAUGAGUGACAUCUAGUAUGUAAUUUCCCAACAGGGUGACUACAGCCAAUAAUAAUUUACCUGCACAUUUUAAUAUAACUAAAAGAGAAUAAUUAAAUUGUUUGUAACACAAAGGAUAAAUGCUUGAAUGUAAAUUGGGCUAACCCUUGACAUUGUCUAUAGUGAUUCUUGGUAAAUUGUGACUACACUGGCAAACUGUCUUCUGAACAUGCUCACUGCUUUUUUCCCUGUCUCCAUUCCACCUUCUCUGUCCUUAUUUCCCUGCCCCUCCUAACUGUUCAGUUUUAUAACUCAAACCCAUUGUUCUGCUCAGUAAUUCUCAUGUCUUUAUCCUAUUUUCCAUCUGACUCACAAUAGUCAUGAAAUAAAAAAGACCAAGAAACAACAGGGCUUUUUAGCAUAGUGGAUCACAAAUGCCCAAAUCAGUGGGUUUUGUUAUUUCAUACAGAAAUGGAAAGAUAAAAAGGCUAGGAAAAUCAG
rnacentral:lncRNA from 1 species